rnacentral:rRNA from 1 species
UACAGAGGUCUCAAGCGUUGUUCGGAUUCAUUGGGCGUAAAGGGUGCGUAGGCGGCGCGGUAAGUCGGGUGUGAAUCUCGGGGCUUAACUCCGAAACUGCAUUCGAUACUGCCGUGCUUGAGGACUGGAGAGGAGACUGGAAUUUACGGUGUAGCGGUGAAAUGCGUAGAUAUCGUAAGGAAGACCAGUGGCGAAGGCGGGGUCUCUGGGCCGAUACUGACGCUGAGGAGCGAAAGCGUGGGGGAGCGAACAGG